rnacentral:rRNA from 1 species
AGAAUCAACGCUGGCGGCGUGCCUAACACAUGCAAGUCGAACGCGAAAGGGGAGCAAUCCCUGAGUAGAGUGGCAAACGGGUGAGUAACACGUGGGUGACCUGCCUCAGAGUGGGGGAUAACGUCCCGAAAGGGACGCUAAUACCGCAUAACAUCCUGCCUUUGGAAAGGCGGAGAUCAAAGCCGGGGAUCGCAAGACCUGGCGCUUGGAGAGGGGCCCGCGUCUGAUUAGCUAGUUGGUAGGGUAAUGGCCUACCAAGGCGACGAUCAGUA